UGCUAUCAUAUGACAAAUCUUUUACUACUGAGUAUAAAUGUUUGAACUGCCAAGAAUAUUUCAAUGUUUUGUUCGUAGCUGAAGUCCGUUGAACCGUGUAGCAAGAUUUCUUCCGACAAAAUAUGUAUUAUAUUGAUAUUAUAAAAAUGCUGUUCACGCAUAAUGUGAAAACGGGGGCAGUGCAACAAGUAGUGCGCUGUCGUUUCUAUAGCACCACAUAAACAAAGUGGCGAAUCCACUAUAUUUUUAACAAACAGAUGAUGAUUUAGAGAACUGCAUUGCAUACGAAGUCUUGAGUGAUAAAUUUGACCCAAUCGCUUACCAAUGUAAAAAUAAUUUGGAGGUUUUAUCGCCCGAGACUGGAAACAAUUCCUGAAUGCCCCCACCGAAGUACUGGUCUUAGCAUUCUCAGGGAGGAGAUUCCAUGAACGUACAGUUGCCGGUAAAAAAUAAUUUGAAUACAGGGCUGUUCUUGUUCGAACAGGGGGGAUUAGGGACGAGUUUCUCGUAUUAUGACUAUGUAUGGUUGCAUGGGACUCUGGAACUAAGGUU
rnacentral:lncRNA from 1 species